AGUUAGUUAUUGGUAUGAGCUUUCAUGUGCAUAUCUGAAGAAGUGUGCAUGCACAUGAAAGCUCAUACCAAUAACUAACU